AAUAAAUCCGGUUUGCUGUCGUUGUGACAGCCUCUUGUUCUUUUCUAUAACAAUAAAAUAACCCCUGACUUUAGGGAGGGUUCUUCCCAACCUGAUAAUAACAAAUUGAAGUCAUUGUUCUGCCUUUAUCACAUACUAGGGCUAUGACCCAGACAAAACAGCAAGCUAUAAGGACAUAAGGGACCCCAACAUUACUAGUGUACACAAUUCAAACAGGAAAACCAACAAUCCAAUAUAUAUAUACAAACUGAGAAAUAACAGGCUAUGAACCACAUCAACAUACUACUGAACAACAGGCCCCUAAAUCAAUCCUGACAGGUACAUAAACAAGCAGUGAGUAUGGGUAGUUUUGUUCUGCCAGCAUACAAUAUAUUUGCAAUAUAUUUGCAACUGAAGCCAACUGUUCUUUAGAAGUU
rnacentral:lncRNA from 1 species